GUCCUGGUCUGGUGAACGAAUGAGGAGGAGGGAAGCUCCGCGAUUCAAGUUUGAAGAUGCCUUGCAAACAAAGACACAUUAAACAAAAAAGAAAGGAGCUACUUGAAGCUGCUAAAAGUAGCAGAUCCCUUACCAACUGGGUGAAAAAAAGUACUGCAGUUCCAGAAUUUGCCACAUUUGGGAUGGGGGUUAUUCAAGACCAGUGAGACCAUCCUUUUUAGAGUGAUCUUCACCUGGCCUGCAAGGAGGCUACAACAAGAAAUAAUUUCAAACCUAAUUUUUAUCACUUUAUUCAACUUCGUAAGUUAUUACAUAUUG